AUUGAACGCUGGCGGCAGGCCUAACACAUGCAAGUCGAGCGAGCGGCGGACGGGGGAGUAAUGCUUGGGAAUCUAGCUUAUGGGGGGGGAUAACUACGGGAAACUGUAGCUAAUACCGCGUACCAUCAGAUGAACCCAUAUGGGAUUAGCUUGUAGGUGAGGUAACGGCUCACCUAUGCGGCGAUCCCUAGCUGGUCUGAGAGGAUGAUCAGCCACACUGGGACUGAGACACGGCCCAGACUCCUACGUGAGGCAGCGGUGGGGAAUAUUGCACAAUGGUCGCAAGCCUGAUGCAGCCAUGCCGCGUGUAUGAAGAGGGCCUUCGGGUUUUAAAGUACUUUCAGUCGGGAGGCAUUACCGACAGAAGAAGAACCGGCUAACUCCGCGCCAGCAGCCGCGGUAAUUC
rnacentral:rRNA from 1 species